rnacentral:rRNA from 1 species
GCUCAGAACGAACGCUGGCGGCGUGCCUAACACAUGCAAGUCGAACGUGAUUAGAGAGCUUGCUCUCUAUGAAAGUGGCGCACGGGUGAGUAACGCGUAGAUAAUCUGCCUGAUGAUCGGGGAUAACACUUCGAAAGGGGUACUAAUACCGGAUAAGCCCACGGUGUCUUUGGACGCUGCGGGAAAAGGGGGGGACCUUCGGGCCUUCUGUCAUCAGAUGAGUCUGCGUACCAUUAGCUAGUUGGUAGGGUAAAGGCCUACCAAGGCGACGAUGGUUAGCUGGUCUGAGAGGAUGAUCAGCCACACUGGAACUGAGACACGGUCCAGACUCCUACGGGAGGCAGCAGUGGGGAAUUUUGCGCAAUGGGGGAAACCCUGACGCAGCAACGCCGCGUGAGUGAUGAAGGCUCUUGGGUCGUAAAGCUCUGACAGAGGGAAAGAAAUGUAUUGUGGCUAAUAUCCACGAUACUUGACGGUACCCUCAAAGGAAGCACCGGCUAACUCCGUGCCAGCAGCCGCGGUAAUACGGGGGGUGCAAGCGUUGUUCGGAUUUAUUGGGCGUAAAGCGCGUGUAGGCGGUUUUUUAAGUCUGAUGUGAAAGCCCUGGGCUCAACCCGGGAAGUGCAUUGGAUACUGGAAGACUUGAAUACGGGAGAGGGCAGUGGAAUUCCUAGUGUAGGAGUGAAAUCCGUAGAUAUUAGGAGGAACACCGGUGGCGAAGGCGGCUGCCUGGACCGAUAUUGACGCUGAGACGCGAAAGCGUGGGUAGCAAACAGGAUUAGAUACCCUGGUAGUCCACGCCGUAAACGAUGAGAACUAGGUGUUGCGGGUAUUGACCCCUGCAGUGCCGUAGCUAACGCAUUAAGUUCUCCGCCUGGGAA